UUCAUGGAGAGUUUGAUCCUGGCUCAGGACGAACGCUGGCGGCGUGCCUAAUACAUGCAAGUCGAGCGGACAGA
rnacentral:rRNA from 1 species